ensembl:lncRNA
CAAAAUUUGAGAGAAAUAAACUUUUUGUGAAUAUGGAACAUUUCUGUUUUAUUUCAGCUCAUGAAACAUGGGACCAACACUUUACAUGGUGUAUUUAUAUUUUUGUUCAAUAUCAAACAAACAUGCCUCUCUGACAUGUAAAAUACUGAAAUCACAGCAGCUCUAUUCAUAGAAUUUUUAUCUAGAAUGUUCCAAAACCUUUUCCUACUGAACAUGGCCCUGGUUUUAAAAAUGGCAGUUAUUGGCAACACCAUGGCAACAACACAACCACAACCAACUCUGAUUGGCCAGUCAAAAGACACAACCAACUCUGAUUGGCCAGUCAAAAGACACAACCAACUCUGAUUGGCCAGUCAAAAGACACAACAAACUCUGAUUGGCCAGUCAAAAGACACAACAAACUCUGAUUGGCCAGUUAAGCCAGACAGAGGUACUGUAUGUAGUAAAAAAACAACUUUAAAAAGCAGGAAUAAUAAACAAUAAUAAAACAAUGCAAUACUGUGAGAUCAUGGCACAGAUAUAGACAGACUGACCGGCAGAUAUAUGACCAUAGAAAUAGACACAGGCAGGGUAUAGAUAAUACUGGUGUGGUACUUUAAAAAUACCGCAGCGUUGUUGGAGCAACACUACGUAGUUGUGUGUUCGUAUCCAUGGUUACCAUAGGUAGAGCCCAGCCUCGUUCCAGACACAGCGGAGAUAACGUCAGAGCAGGUCCACUGACUACAUCUCCCAGAGGGCUUUUUCCAAAAUAAAAGUCCCCGUGAUAUCUGCACCGGUUGUUCACGAGUAUUGAGUGAACCUCGUGUCAUGUAAGCUACAACAGUACUGUGUGUCUCUGCGUGAUGGUGGACAAGGUUCAGUUUCAAACUGUCACUUCUAGAGAUAUGGGUUUAACAGAUCCCAAGGUCCUGUUUCAAACUGUCACUUCUAGAGAUAUGGGUUUAACAGAUCCCAAGGUCCUGUUUCAAACUGUCACUUCUAGAGAUAUGGGUUUAACAGAUCCCAAGGUCCUGUUUCAAACUGUCACUUCUAGAGAUAUGGGUUUAACAGAUCCCAAGGUUCCGUUGUUUCCAUAUUGGUCAGUGCGUGACCUGAACUCUUAUUGUGAAACACUUUGUUCCAGAUGCAUUUCCUGGGCUCCAUGUAACAGUUCCAUGACACAGAAUAGCCCACCAGGUAACCAACCAGCCAAGUCCAUAUCUCAGAAAGGUAUAGCCACACCUUUUACUCCAUACUGUAGUUACAGCUCCAUAAUCCAUACAGGGCAGAGGACCAUAAACCAUAGCCAGUCUAUUCCCCAUGUAGGUACGAGGUGAGCCAUGUAAUCCCAUCCCAGGUAGGUCCAUCCCAGAUCAGUUUAUCCAGGUAGGUCCAUCCCAGGUAGCCAUAGACAGGUAGGUCCAUCUCGGGUAGCCAUAGACAGGUAUGUCCAUCUCGGGUAGGUCCAUCCCAGGUAGGUCCAUCCCAGGUAGGUCCAUCCCAGGUAGCCAUAGACAGGUAGGUCCAUCCCAGAUCAGUUUAUCCAGGUAGGUCCAUCCCAGGUAGCCAUAGACAGGUAGGUCCAUCCCAGAUCAGUUUAUCCAGGUAGGUCCAUCCCAGGUAGCCAUAGACAGGUAUGUCCAUCCCAGGUAGCCAUAGACAGGUAUGUCCAUCUCGGGUAGCCACAGACAGGUAGGUCCAUCCCAGGUAGCCAUAGACAGGUAUGUCCAUCUCGGGUAGGUCCAUCCCAGGUAUGUCCAUCCCAGGUAGCCAUAGACAGGUAUGUCCAUCCCAGGUAGCCAUAGACAGGUAGGUCCAUCCCAGGUAGCCAUAGACAGGUAUGUCCAUACAUGCAGCCAUAGACAGGUAGGUCCAUCCCAGGUAGCCAUAGACAGGUAUGUCCAUACAUGCAGCCAUAGUCCAAGUAAAUCUUAGCCUGCAGGUAUGUCUCCGUCCUCUGUCCCAGGUUAGAUUUGUCCCAGGGCCAGGCUAAACCAGACUUAACCCCGGUACAGUCAUGGUUCUGGCACCAGUGUGGCCCCAGUUAGGCCCUGUGGUCUCAGGACUGGUUGUCCCCAGUAGGGGUUGGUGGUUCGAGUGACAGUUCUUCGUCAGACAGCCCCGUUUCCACAGCGAUCACCAGGGAUGCCACAGACGCACUGCUGGUCAUGGGCUGGAACUCACCUAGAGAGAGAGAGACAGGGGGAGGAGGAGACAAAAGAAGGAUGAGAGAGACCGAGAGAGGGAGAGAGAAAGAGGGAUGAGAGAGAGAAAGAAGAGGGGGGAGGGAGAGAAAGAAAGAGGGAGAGGUGAGGAUGCAAUUCAUUAAAGCUGCCACCAGGUGGCACUAUGAGUGCUGUUUGUGUGUGUGCGUAUGUGUGCGUGUGUGUGCGUGGUGUGACUGUGGGCUGCGUGGUGUGACUGUGCGUGUCGCUAGCCUCGCCCGCCGCCCGGCGCUAGCCUCGCCCGCCGCCCGGCGCUAGCCUCGCCCGCCGCCCGGCGCUAGCCUCGCCCGCCGCUAGUCUCGCCCGCCGCUAGUCUCGCCCGCCGCCUGUCGCUAGUCUCGCCCGCCGCCUGUCGCUAGUCUCGCCCGCCGCCUGUCGCUAGUCUCGCCCGCCGCCUGUCGCUAGUCUCGCCCGCCGCCUGUCGCUAGUCUCGCCC